rnacentral:rRNA from 1 species
CCUACGGGGGGCUGCAGUGGGGAAUUUUCCGCAAUGGGCGAAAGCCUGACGGAGCAAUACCGCGUGAGGGAGGACGGCUUUUGGGUUGUAAACCUCUUUUAUCAGGGAAGAAUCGAUGACGGUACCUGAUGAAUCAGCAUCGGCUAACUCCGUGCCAGCAGCCGCGGUAAUACGGAGGAUGCAAGCGUUAUCCGGAAUUAUUGGGCGUAAAGCGUCCGUAGGUGGUUUAUCAAGUCUGCUGUCAAAGCGUGCGGCUUAACCGCAUAAGGGCAGUGGAAACUGAUGAACUAGAGUGCGAUAGGGGUAACAGGAAUUCCCAGUGUAGCGGUGAAAUGCGUAGAUAUUGGGAAGAACACCAGCGGCGAAAGCGUGUUACUGGGUCUGCACUGACACUGAGGGACGAAAGCUAGGGGAGCAAACGGGAUUAGAUACCCGAGUAGUC